CUACAGAGGGUGCGAGCGUUAAUCGGAAUUACUGGGCGUAAAGCGCGCGUAGGCGGUUUGUUAAGUCGGAUGUGAAAUCCCCGGGCUCAACCUGGGAAUUGCAUUCGAAACUGCAUGACUAGAGUCUGAUAGAGGGAAGUGGAAUUUCCGGUGUAGCGGUGAAAUGCGUAGAUAUCGGAAGGAACAUCAGUGGCGAAGGCGGCUUCCUGGAUUAAGACUGACACUAAGGUGCGAAAGCGUGGGGAGCAAACAGGAUUAGAAACCCCAGUAGUCC
rnacentral:rRNA from 1 species